GUUUGCACUCAUCGGGGAAGGGUGAGAACCUUCGACUAAGGUUCGAUUCGAGCGAAAGCGAGAGAACGUUGCCACAGGCAACGGCCCGAAGGG
rnacentral:sRNA from 1 species